CAAAUUUGGUAUUUUCACAAGAUACACAUUCAAUGUUGUGAAAAAUUUAAGUUUUUCACAAUAUCGUCUUUAUCACUACACUUAAAAAUUCUAAAUAUUAGAAUUUGAAUUUAUGAUUAAUUUAACUAUACGAAGGGGGUAAGUACUGCGAAUGUUUAGAAAUUACUGUGUUUAUUAUUAUAAAUAUUUAAGAAAAAUAUCUUAAUGACCACCACUGGUAGGAAUUAACCGUUUCUAAAAUUCACAAACCAAAAUAAUUAUGUAUUUUUGAUAUUAAUUUUAAAGUAACUUUUGGUAAAUAUUAAUUUUUCUGUACUUAAAGAUUAGUCCUAUAAGUUAUAACAUUAUAUUUAUAAUUUAACUAAGUGCUGAUGUGUCAGCAACUUUUGUAAGUGGGGAGUAGGGAAAAUAGG